CAGCAGCCACGGUAAUACGUAGGUGGCAAGCGUUGUCCGGAAUUAUUGGGCGUAAAGGGCUCGCCGGCGGUUUCUUAAGUCUGAUGUGAAAGCCCCCGGCUCAACCGGGGAGGGUCAUUGGAAACUGGGAAACUUGAGUGCAGAAGAGGAGAGUGGAAUUCCACGUGUAGCGGUGAAAUGCGUAGAGAUGUGGAGGAACACCAGUGGCGAAGGCGACUCUCUGGUCUGUAACUGACGCUGAGGAGCGAAAGCGUGGGGGGCGAACAGGAUUAGAUACCCCUGUAGUCCCUGUCUCUUAUAC
rnacentral:rRNA from 1 species